CACGUAGGGUGCGAGCGUUGUCCGGAAUUAUUGGGCGUAAAGAGCUCGUAGGCGGUGUGUCGCGUCGGCCGUGAAAACCUGCAGCUUAACUGUGGGCUUGCGGUCGAUACGGGCAUCACUGGAGUUCGGCAGGGGAGACUGGAAUUCCUGGUGUAGCGGUGAAAUGCGCAGAUAUCAGGGAGGAACACCGGGUGGGCCGAAGGCGGGGUCUCUGGACCGGUACUGACGCUGGAGGCGCGAAAGCGUGGGGAGCAAACAGG
rnacentral:rRNA from 1 species